rnacentral:rRNA from 1 species
UGGUCAAUGGUCGGCAGACUGAACCAGCCAAGUCGCGUGAGGGAAGACGGCCCUACGGGUUGUAAACCUCUUUUGUCGGAGAGUAAAGUACGCUACGCGUAGCGUAUUGCAAGUAUCCGAAGAAAAAGCAUCGGCUAACUCCGUGCCAGCAGCCGCGGUAAUACGGAGGAUGCGAGCGUUAUCCGGAUUUAUUGGGUUUAAAGGGUGCGUAGGCGGCACGCCAAGUCAGCGGUGAAAUUUCCGGGCUCAACCCGGACUGUGCCGUUGAAACUGGCGAGCUAGAGUGCACAAGAGGCAGGCGGAAUGCGUGGUGUAGCGGUGAACAUGCAUAGAUAUCACGCAGAACCCCGAUUGCGAAGGCAGCCUGCUAGGGUGCGACAGACGCUGAGGCACGAAAGCGUGGGUAUCGAACAGGAUUAGAUACCCUGGUAGUCCACGCAGUUAAACGAUGAAUACUAACUGUUUGCGAUACAAUGUAAGCGGUACAGCGAAAGCGUUAAGUAUUCCACCUGGGGAGUA